rfam:Aedes aegypti strain Liverpool supercont1.147 genomic scaffold, whole genome shotgun sequence.
GCUGGCGUGGUCAAGUGGUUAUGGUGCACGCGCGUUUUGGAAACGUUUUUGCUCAUGGACAUGGGUUCGAACCCCGUCGGCGGCA